CUAACUAGCCAGCUGCUAAAAUCAGUUAUAAUAUCUGUUCUUAUGACCAAAAUAGCUGAUAAUGUCCUCUCUCUGAGGACAGCAUAUAACAUGGAUUUUCAGAGCAGGGAUAUGAUAUAAGAACUUGCUCCAUCCACUUUACUCACUGACCUGGUAUUGCAGAACCUCCAGGAAUAUUAAAUCCCUC
ensembl:snRNA U2 U2 spliceosomal RNA